AAUUUCAUGAGCUAUAUAAUGUUGUAUAUCUUGUGACACAGUAGACUUAAACCCACUUCUCUUUUAGCAGGGUGAUAAUAAAUGUCACCUCUACUUGUCUGCCACUCAAGUCCUGAUAUGCACUGCAAAGCUAAAGUCAGCAAAACAAACUAGCUUCCUGGAAAGGAGAAUUUUAAGAACAAGAACAGAAAAAAGCCCGGUAAAAGCUGUAACUGGCUCUGCCUGUCUGUGCUAUGACAGCCAACAAUAUCACCUGCUGAUGAUUUACAGAUUCCUGGGAGAUGUGUUGUUGAGUCUCAAAGAACUGGAACAAGAACAACUCGCUCAAAUUGCUUCCCGUGAAACAGCAUAACGUAUCCACCCGCUUCAUACUCUCCUAAUUUAGGACACGUGUAGUCUGUAAUGAUGAACUGGCCAACUGAUUAUGUUGCUGUAAAUCUCGUUCCCCACCUUACAAAACAC
rnacentral:lncRNA from 1 species